rnacentral:rRNA from 1 species
UACGGGGGGGGUAAGCGUUGUUCGGAAUUACUGGGCGUAAAGGGCUCGUAGGCGGCCAACUAAGUCAGACGUGAAAUCCCUCAGCUUAACUGGGGAACUGCGUCUGAUACUGGAUGGCUUGGAUUCGGGAGAGGAAUGCGGAAUUCCAGGUGUAGCGGUGAAAUGCGUAGAUAUCUGGAGGAACACCGGUGGCGAAGGCGGCAUUCUGGACCGAUAUUGACGCUGAGGAGCGAAAGCCAGGGGAGCGAACAGG